GUGCAUUUUUUUAAUUUAAGCACCCUUUCAUCUUCCCUUACACUCUUAUAAGUUUAAGAGUCUAUUUAGAUGACUCUUAACCCAUAUGUAUCUUUUUUGAUUUUUUUCAGAUGGAGACAUCCAGUAUGGUUUUCCGUAAAGGGAGACCAGCGAGGCCCAGAGAGAGAGGCACGGGCUGAGUUAGAUGGAGACAUCCAGUAUGGUUUUCCGUAAAGGGAGACCAGCGAGGCCCAGAGAGAGAGGCACGGGCUGAGUUAGCGGGCCAGCUGCACAAGCAGCCAGACAGGCGUUAAAGCAGGCGGGAAGAGAGUCGUCGUGAAAGACCCAGAGUAUGCUGGGACAGUAACAUUAGCAGGCAGGUGGUUAUGAAGCAGACGAGGAGGGGGAAGAGUCGAGGCCACAGGAGUAACGUUACGCUGAUGGAGACAUCCAGUAUGGUUUUCCGUAAAGGGAGACCAGCGAGGCCCAGAGAGAGGCACGGGCUGAGUUAGGUAAGUAGAAAUCUCUAAUUUUAUUUCUAAACACCAUUUAGGCUCCUAGGCAUUUAGGGCCUAGGCUCCUCCCCUCUGUUUAUUUAUGCUGCGGUGCCCGGGGAGGGUUCGGUGCGGGAUUUCCACGAUGAAUCGAACCGACAACCAUACGGUUAGGAGUCAAACUCUCUAACCACUAGGUCGCGACAUCAAACAAGUCAAUACAGUAAAAAAAUGAAAGAGAACACAUUGUUUAGGUCUUAAAUCUCUUAAAGCCAUCAGAAAAAAAUUAAAAAAUUCAAAAAUAAACAGAGGGGAGGAGCCUAGGCUCUAAGUUUAAUUUUUUUGUUUUAGUGUACACAAAUUGGACGAUAAAGAAAUUGCUAACAAUAGUAGGACUAUAAUAGAGCAUGUUUUAGGUUGUUAGGCGUUUAGAUGCAGAAAUGGACAAAAAAGUGUACACUAAAACAAAAAAAUUAAACUUAUAAGAGUGUAAGGGAAGAUGAAAGAGUGCUUAAAUUAAAAAAAAAUGCACUUUUAAGUGCUUGAUAUAUUCAAAGAAAAGGCUCUGAAAAAUUUACAAAUUGUCAAUUUAAUUUUUAAAUUUUAUUUCUAAACACCAUUUAGGCUCCUAGGCAUUUAGGGCCUAGGCUCCUCCCCUCUGUUUAUUUAUGCUGCCAUGCCCGGGGAGGGUUCACUGCGUUCACUUUGCCCCCAUAAUUUUUCUCUGGCCAGGAAGAGGCCACCUCGAAGGCCGAGGCCAAUUUGUUUAUUUUUGAAUUUUUACAUUUUUCAGAGCCUUUUCUUUGAAUAUAUCAAGCACUUAAAAGUGCAUUUUUUGAAUUUAAGCACUCUUUCAUCUUCCCUUACACUCUUAUAAGUUAAAUUUUUUUGUUUUAGUGUACACUUUUUUUGUGUUACUAUCUUCACAGACCCAUUUAUUUAUUUUUCACUUUCACACACUUAUUUGUGUUUUUAGCACCCCUUUGUUUUAUUUUACAACACAUAUUAAUCCACAUGACCAUCACAAUAAUCCACAAGUAAUCCACAUGACUCCAGUCCAUCAAUUAACGUCAUGUGAAGCAAAAAGCUGUGUGUUUGUAAUAAAAGAAUCCAUCAUUAACUUUAAACUAUUUGUUUUUGCCUAAAAUAUGAGAUUUUAAACUAUAUACAAGUACACAAGCCUUUUAUCGCGACGUUUCGACAGCUUUCUGUGUCUUCUUCAGGCAUGACUUGUGUAAAAUAAAUGUUUUCUUCUCUGAGCUCAAUUUAAUUUUUUAGAAUUAAAAGCUCCUUCCCUCUGUUUAUUUUGU